rnacentral:rRNA from 1 species
AUUGAACGCUGGCGGCAGGCCUAACACAUGCAAGUCGAGCGGAUGAAGGGAGCUUGCUCCUGGAUUCAGCGGCGGACGGGUGAGUAAUGCCUAGGAAUCUGCCUGGUAGUGGGGGAUAACGUCCGGAAACGGGCGCUAAUACCGCAUACGUCCUGAGGGAGAAAGUGGGGGAUCUUCGGACCUCACGCUAUCAGAUGAGCCUAGGUCGGAUUAGCUAGUUGGUGGGGUAAAGGCCUACCAAGGCGACGAUCCAUAACUGGUCUGAGAGGAUGAUCAGUCACGCUGGAACUGAGACACGGUCCAGACUCCUACGGGAGGCAGCAGUGGGGAAUAUUGGACAAUGGGCGAAAGCCUGAUCCAGCCAUGCCGCGUGUGUGAAGAAGGUCUUCGGAUUGUAAAGCACUUUAAGUUGGGAGGAAGGGCAGUAAGUUAAUACCUUGCUGUUUUGACGUUACCAACAGAAUAAGCACCGGCUAACUUCGUG